rnacentral:rRNA from 1 species
UGGGGAAUUUUGGACAAUGGGCGAAAGCCUGAUCCAGCAAUGCCGCGUGUGUGAAGAAGGCCUUCGGGUUGUAAAGCACUUUUGUCCGGAAAGAAAUCCUUGGCUCUAAUACAGUCGGGGGAUGACGGUACCGGAAGAAUAAGCACCGGCUAACUACGUGCCAGCAGCCGCGGUAAUACGUAGGGUGCAAGCGUUAAUCGGAAUUACUGGGCGUAAAGCGUGCGCAGGCGGUUUGCUAAGACCGAUGUGAAAUCCCGGGCUCAACUGGGAACUGCAUUGGUGACUGGCAGGCUAGAGUAUGGCAGAGGGGGGUAGAAUUCCACGUGUAGCAGUGAAAUGCGUAGAGAUGUGGAGGAAUACCGAUGGCGAAGGCAGCCCCCUGGGCCAAUACUGACGCUCAUGCACGAAAGCGUGGGGGAGCAAACAGGAUUAGAUACCCUGGUAGUCCACGCCCUAAA